GGCCUCCUGGUGCUUAGAAGCUGUGUUCUUACACCCUACAGAAAAACGAGGCAGAGUAAUCUACCCUAUUUACACCUCAGCACGGCCCUGUGCCUGAUCUGUAUUUUGAAUGGGGAAACAUGG
rnacentral:snoRNA from 1 species